AGUGAACGCUGGCGGUAGGCCUAACACAUGCAAGUCGAACGGCAGCACAGUAAGAGCUUGCUCUUACGGGUGGCGAGUGGCGGACGGGUGAGGAAUACAUCGGAAUCUACUUUUUCGUGGGGGAUAACGUAGGGAAACUUACGCUAAUACCGCAUACGACCUACGGGUGAAGGCAGGGGAUCUUCGGACCUUGCGCGAUUGAAUGAGCCGAUGUCGGAUUAGCUAGUUGGCGGGGUAAAGGCCCACCAAGGCGACGAUCCGUAGCUGGUCUGAGAGGAUGAUCAGCCACACUGGAACUGAGACACGGUCCAGACUCCUACGGGAGGCAGCAGUGGGGAAUAUUGGACAAUGGGCGCAAGCCUGAUACAGCCAUACCGCGUGUGUGAAGAAGGCAUUCGGGUUGUAAAGCCCUUUUGUUGGGAAAGAAAAGCAGCAGGUUAAUACCCCGCUGUUCUGACGGUACCCAAAGAAUAAGCACCGGCUAACUUCGUG
rnacentral:rRNA from 1 species